UGCGUAGGCGGGUCUUUAAGUCAGGGGUGAAAUCCUGGAGCUCAACUCCAGAACUGCCUUUGAUACUGAGGAUCUUGAGUUCGGGAGAGGUGAGUGGAACUGCGAGUGUAGAGGUGAAAUUCGUAGAUAUUCGCAAGAACACCAGUGGCGAAGGCGGCUCACUGGCCCGAUACUGACGCUGAGGCACGAAAGCGUGGGAGCAAACAG
rnacentral:rRNA from 1 species